rnacentral:rRNA from 1 species
GAUAAACGCUGGCGGCGCACAUAAGACAUGCAAGUCGAACGGAAGUCGUUACGAAAUGGAAUGAAGAUUUAUCUGAUUGAAGUUUUGUAACAAUGGCUUUAGUGGCGGACUGGUGAGUAACACGUAAGCAAUCUACCUAUUAGAGGGGAAUAACAAUGAGAAAUCAUUGCUAAUACCGCAUAAGCUUGUAGUACCGCAUGGUACAGCAAGAAAAGGAGCAAUCCGCUAAUAGAUGAGCUUGCGGCUGAUUAGCUAGUUGGUGUGGUAACGGCAUACCAAGGCAACGAUCAGUAGCCGGGCUGAGAGGCUCUUCGGCCACAUUGGGACUGAGAUACGGCCCAGACUCCUACGGGAGGCAGCAGUCGGGAAUUUUGCGCAAUGGAGGAAACUCUGACGCAGUGACGCCGCGUAUAGGAAGAAGGUUUUCGGAUUGUAAACUAUUUUAGUCAGGGAAGAAAAAUGACAGUACCUGAAGAAUAAGCUCCGGCUAACUACGUG